UACAGAGGGUGCGAGCGUUGUUCGGAAUUAUUGGGCGUAAAGCGCUUGUAGGCGGUCUAUCAAGUCUCGUGUGAAAUCCCCAGGCUUAACCUGGGAAGUGCGCGGGAAACUGAAGGACUUGAGUGCCGGAGAGGGUCGCGGAAUUCCCGGUGUAGAGGUGAAAUUCGUAGAUAUCGGGAGGAACACCAGUGGCGAAGGCGGCGACCUGGACGGACACUGACGCUGAGACGCGAAAGCGUGGGGAGCAAACAGG
rnacentral:rRNA from 1 species